rnacentral:pre_miRNA from 1 species
UUUGUACUCCCUCCGUCCCAAAAUUCUUGUCUUAAAUUUGUCUAAAUACGGAUGUAUCUAGUUACAUUUUAGUUUUAGAUACAUCCGUAUCUAAACAAAUGUAAGACAAGAAUUUUGGGACGGAGGGAAUACUAC